GCCCUCGUAGAUCAAUGGUAGAUCUCUUCCUUACAUUAUCUGCAGUCUUUGCGUAUGUGUUAUGGACGUGAUGUGGGUUCGACACCCACCGCGGGCA